CGGGGAACGGGGCCGGGAUGCGGAGGCUGAUCAGUUCCGCCCGGCCCGGCCCUUCCACGGGAAACGCGGGGAAACGCCGGCUAGAGAGCGGGGCCGUGGAGAGAAGAGGGACCACGGGAAGAAGCGGCCCCUCCGUGUCGGCCCUUCCGCCCGUGCGGGCCCGCCGGGCACCCUCUCUUGUAACCAAGCUUGGAGCCACCCCCCAGCACCCACAGGCAGGAGCCAGCCCCGUACACCUCCCUGACCUCUGGGUUAUUACAUCUCCCAACCUGUGGGUUAUUACGGCUCCCUGACCUGUGGGUUACACCUCCUCAGGCCGCAGCAGCCAUGGACAAAGCUCUCAGUCACCUCCCCUCAGUGCCUGCUUGGAAACCAUUUCUCUGUUGGCUUGUGACACAUUCGGACGUGACCAGGGCACUUCCAUCACUCGCCCCGUUGAGGAGGCAGAGGAAGAACAUCUGAGCGUCCCUUGAAGCUCAGAGGGCUGUGUGACUGAGGUCACUGUUCAUCCCGUGCUUCUGUUUCUAUUCCACCAAAACUCUCACUUAGGCAAAUGCAGCCCAAAGUCCUGGAAGCUCCCCCUACUUGGCUUUACCCUGGAUGACUUCUCCGAGCCAGUGUCUGAUGUCUGAAAUGCAAUCGCAGUUAUGAAGGUUUGCAUACAAGGCCAUGAACUGCGGGUAACAACGGAGCCACCAGCAUUGUAAGAAAAAAAAGACGGAAUAAUGAGAUUAUCGCAGUUUAAAUUACUAAGCAACAGUUUCUCUGACAAUGAACUUAGUAACGCUCUGCCAUCUAUUUAAUCACGCUAAUGAGACAGAACAACUCCACUUAGAUACAAAUUACUCUGCAUUUCAUUUAAAUAAGGGUCAGGGAGCUAAAUGCCACACAAGCCACCACACUUCUGCUGUACAGCACAUCCAGCAAAAGACCUCCUUUGUUUCCAGAAUGGACCCAGGCUUUCUGGCCAUGAGCUGCCAAGGCAGGGCUGCACAAGGCAUCUUGCUCAAACCUCCCACCUCCACUCCCCAACCGCCUGUGCGUGGGCCCAGAGCCUCUCUGGCUUGGGAACAGCUCCUUGGUUUGGAGAGGCUGACAGUCGAAGCCAAGCAGCACGGCUUGUUGAGAAUCUUCUCACUUAUCCGGCUGGUGCCAUCAUGAUCGUCUUAAUAUAAAAAUCUGGUUUGGUAUGUGUCUCUCACCAUUUAAAACUGAUGACUUCCCUUGGAUAUUUAAAAAUUUUGUUUCAAAUCCAUGCCUCUUGGGCUGAAGCUGGUCGUGCGAGAGCAGGUCUGUAAUAAACUGAAGAAAACUGACUGGCAGUUACGACUGGAUUAUUCACACAUGCUAGUAGUCUUAAUCUUUACUUGGAAGCCCAGAGCUGGCCCAGGGCUCACAUCUGAUAUAUGUUCCCUGGCCACAGGGAGAGGGGAGCUAAGGUGACAUCCCAUGGGGCCCUUUCCCAGUGGGUGGCUGCAUGAUCCCUCCAGAGGCCAGGAAUAUUCCCACAUGCUCACACCAGCAUUAGGUUUCCUCAAGCCUCACUCCUUGCUGCACUUCUUUCCAUUCCUCUUAAUUAGCGGGGGAGUAAUUCCAGGCUAUGCAAGUCAUUCAGCAUCUCCUCCCUCCUCCACGAUCAGCUUCCCCAGUACAGUUCAUGCCUGUAAUAAGAUGUCAGCCUCGAGCUCAGCUUGGCAAGCCUUUCAUUCCCGCACUGCUCUUGCCUGCACAUGGCUCCUACUCACUUCCUAAACUUCCAGCCCCCCAUCCCAUCAGCUCUAGGAUGAACCUCCAGCUAGCUGUGCUCCCAGACACACAAGGCAGGCUGAUCCUCUGGCUGCAUGGCUGUCCAGGUGACCCCACAGCACUUCUUGAGAGCAUUUCACUCCGAGCAAUGGUGUGAGGCCGGUAUAAGGCGCUUUAGCUGCAGGAGCCACUGCAACAGCAACACAGCUCAACCCUCCUCAGCCCUCCUCCUCACCUAGACAAAGGAGAUGAAGCAUUUAAGCCGGUGAGGAUCUGCUCCUGCAGGCAGUUUCUUCCACUGCCAAAACCAUUCACAAAAUAAACAGGCAACAAACAUUCAAAUUCCACAAACACCUUCCUCUCUCUUGUGUACACUGUGUGUAUAUAUACAUACACAUAUGUACAAUUUUUAAGAGCUGGUGAAAAGUGCCAAACUGACAGUUUGAAAGAAAAAGCACUUCCUGUUAUUUACAAAGCUGGUACAAUAUAGGAAGCAGCAGAGCAAACUUCUCCCUCUUGCACUGUCAUCUCCACAAUCCAGAGGGAACACUCUUAAGCAUAAAGUUAAUGCAUAUUCAUAUUUUUCAUCUUCCCUGCUAAGGACCUAAGAAUUGAACUUUUUACAGGGAGCAGAGAACUGUUAUGCAGUUCCCUAAUUCGGUAUUAUUCUUACCAUGUGAGGGUUGCAAAUUUCAUUUAUAUGAAAACCAAGACCCUGAAUCAAAAAAAUGUAACCCUCCCCAAAACUCAGCCACUUCUCACCAACCCAGUUCCAACACAAUACAAUGUUCUAACUGCAUAUUCCUCACCCACAAUCUUAAUCCCAUGCUCUGUCUGCAUGGUGUGGUCUGUGCCAUUUUUACGUGCCUGUGGUAGUUCAAAUUAAUGCACAUGGUUUUAGUUAUUAUUUACUUACAAAACAUUUCAUCAGAGGAUGUGUCUGAUUCAGGACUCAAAAAGCCAGGCCACUAAAGGAGGACAGCACUUAAUGAAGCAGCGGGAAAAUGUCAUGCUUUAAAGGUGUCUUGCACGGAAAUAGAUUCCAUGCUCUAUCCUCAGUCCUCCCGAGGUCAAAAAUAAUAAUUAUGAGAAGGGAGCUGGAAGAAGGAGGAUAGGAAAUGGGGAUUUUUUGAGCAGGGCAGCAGGAAAGCUCCAUCAGUUUAGUCACCUGCUGGGCAGCCCUGUCCCUUGCCAGGCACUUUCUAUUACUCCUGAGCAAUUACAUACUGAUGAAUGAGUCACAGAAGAAAAACACAACUGGACUUUGUUUACUGGGGUGCAAGCUCAGCUCUGCGAUUUCUCAAGAGCUGCAGAGAUGCAGAGCUGGCAGUUCUGCUCCACUAGCCAAGGUGUGAGGGACCGCAGGUGAAGGAUCUGUGCUUUCCUGUGAAAGGCUGUGAUUAAUGGUAAGGGUUUUCUCCACCCCAAGUUCCUUCUACCUGAUCUGCCCAGGCCCAGGAACCACAAGCAAAAACAUCUGUAACUUAUGGUUUAAGGUUUAAUUUGUUGGCUGUGCUUCGGGCAAGCGGGGAGCACACAUAAACCAUGGUGUGCUGACAGCAGGGCCAGUGGCAGUGCCCAGUGGGCAGGCUGCUCUCCUGCUGGGAAGGGCUGAGAGCCACGACCUGCACUCAGUGGGUUUUUGCAAGAGCCUUAGACUGGCUGUGUGUGCCUGUGUCCGGCUGCCUGAGGAAGAGGAAGGAGAGCAAUCAGAAAAGACAGCAGCAACAAAGAGCUGCCUCUGAGCCAGCCACACAUGCAAACUCCCAUGCCCAUCCUGAGAGAUCUUCAGCCUCUUCAAAAACCAAAGACUAUUGCCAGAUCCCCUCUUGGGGGUUGUGGAUGAGUCCCUCAGCUCCAGAAAGCCUGCCUUGCCCACUCAGCCAUAUGGAGCCCUGGAGACAGUGUCCAUGGGCUGCUAACGGAGAUCCGGCUUGGGCUCCUGACAACAAAAUGCCAGUUACAGCCGUGACCCCUUCACCAGUCCUGUCUGCUGAGGCUGUAGCUCUCCAGCAGGACUCUCUUACCUAGUGAUCUGCUGCCACGGCAGAAUUCAUGUGCUAUUGUAGGAUAAACCAACUUGCCAAAAAAAAAACCAAGAAGAACAAUACUUAGAUAGCAAGUGCCCAAAGGUUAGGAGAGGCCAGAGGGUUUUUUCCAUACAAUCUUUUCUAAGUUUUUCUGGUGGGCAAGGCAGAGCCUUUAAAUUCACGGGUAGGACCCCAGCUCCUGAUGUGCACUGGUAACACUGGAGGUACACAUCUGUGGCUGCCCUGGCACAGUGGCAUCACUCGCACGUGGUCUUCUGGCACUUCUGGAAAAGUGUGCUGGGAAUCUGUCAGGCUAGUGGGGACUGUGUUUGGGCAGCAGACUUUGCAGCCAGAGUCAAAACCCAAAUCCACAGGUUUGGGUCAGCCCCUUGCUCCUGCCUCCUGUGUCAGUGCUGCUGUGCUCCAUGGGCGACCAUCUCAGCUGCCACUGAAGCCAGAAAGAGCCAGCUGUUUCCAUUUCCCCUUGCAUUCCUAGGCUGAAGCAGCACCAUCCCCCAGUGCCUCACCUCCUGCAGCUUUGCCAGCUCAUUCUGCUCGUUCUCAGCCUCCCUUGGGCACUCCUUGGUAAAUAAAUCCCCCUGCUUCUUUCCCUAUCCCAUAGGGCCAGGCAGUAGCACAAGGGCCAUUCCAGCGGGCUAGAAUAAUUAUCUCCUUUUGUGUUAUUAUUUGUGGAACAAUUAUGUUUAUCAUGGUGAUGCUUAGGGCCAGACCUGUGUCCAGGAUUGUGCUUUCUACUUCAGGCUUUGCCCAGAGACCCUCGGUCUUGGUUGGGGCACCCAGACCUGUGGCACUGCUCUCUGCCCUCUAUGCAGUCACAAUUUCAUGGCUUUGCCUUCAGCAAAACAGUCCCAACUCCCAAGUGUGCAUAGUAGCAUGACUCAGAGCUGAAACUCCUCCAGUGAACAUUUUGGGAACUUCCCAAUCUGAGUGAUACUGGGCUUUGGCUGGUGUCCCGCAGUCACACACCCCACCACACCUACCCACCUGGCACUGCCAAAAUGUCACUGGCACUGCUCAGCACAGCACAGCAGUGCAGACUAUUUAGGCAGGGAAAAGCCAGUUCAGAUAGGUAUAUCAAUCAAAGUAAGUCAGCUUGCCCUUCAGCUGCUUUAAACCUGCCACCCCCAGCCUUUGAAUACCAUUUUUGCUUCUGUGGCCACUUUGCACAGCCUGGUUUUGCCCAAAGAUAGACCCAAAAUCCUGCUCCCACUGCAUUUCUGUGGGAUCGGGGCCAGUCCCAGCAGACCCUUUAGGAGGUGUCUGCAGGCAAGAGAAGGUCAGAAGCUUUGGCUCGGCAGCUGCAGACACCCCUCACUGAGUCCCUCAAGCAGAGAACUGGUUACAGAAAACUUCAUGUCCCCAUUCAACAAACUUAAUGCUUGCAAGAUUUUGCACCACUAAGUCAAACAAGAUAAAUAAAAGCUGGCAAAAAUA